GACGAACGCUGGCGGCGUGCUUAACACAUGCAAGUCGAACGAAGUGGCGAACGGGUGAGUAACGCGUAAUCAACCUGCCCUUCAGAGGGGGACAACAGUUGGAAACGACUGCUAAUACCGCAUACUGAAGGAGGGGAUUGCGUCUGAUUAGCUAGUUGGAGGGGUAACGGCCCACCAAGGCGAUGAUCCGUAACCGGUCUGAGAGGAUGAGUCGGCAAACGGGAACUGAGACCAGGCCCAAGCUCCCACGGGAGGCCUGGGUGGGGAAUAUUGGAAAAUGGGCGAAAGCCUGAUCCACCCCUGCCGGGGGUGUGAAAAAGGUCUUCGGAUUGUAAAGCCCUUUAAGUUGGGAGGCGUUACCAACAGAAUAAGCACCGGCUAACUUCGUGCCAGCAGCCGCGGUAAUUC
rnacentral:rRNA from 1 species